GCUCUGGCUGGACGGCGGUCUGGAACGCUGGGAGCAGCCGGUCUCCAGUGGGCUCCGUCGGUCUCCAACCUGGCAGAACACCUCUCGUCGCUGGACGCCGUCGCCACAUGACGCUGAACACUGAAAGCAGGACAGAACACAUUCCUGCAGAGAACACAAAGGAUGAGAGAAGGAUGGAGAAUCUGUUUUGCUUUAUGCCAAUUCUGUUCAGCUGCUAUAGACUCACCCAUGACGGAAACAAUCACCCGAGGUGCUGUUGAUGACUGCUGGUGAUCUGCACAACAAGCAAAUUACAUAAUAUCUACAUAGCAACUGUAAAUGUAUAUAGAUUUGAAGUAGGGGGGGGCUGAGAUACAGUACAUCGUGACAAAGAGUAAAGAUGAAACAAAGUUUUUCCUAUAUGUUUGUGUGUGUAAAUGACAAUGAAUGAGAGACUACCAUCA